rnacentral:rRNA from 1 species
UACGGGGGGGAGCAAGCGUUGUUCGGAUUUACUGGGCGUAAAGGGCGCGUAGGCGGCGUGACAAGUCACUUGUGAAAUCUCCGGGCUUAACUCGGAACGGUCAAGUGAUACUGUCGGACUAGAGUACAGAAGGGGCAACUGGAAUUCUCGGUGUAGCGGUGAAAUGCGUAGAUAUCAUGAGGAAUACCAGAGGCGAAGGCGGCUCCCUGGACAAUUGCUGACACUCAGGCACGAAAGCGUGGGGAGCAAAAGGG